CUCCCACCAGCUUAGCAAACUUGGGUGAAUGUUGGAUACCAUACCGAAUCUGGGGACCUCGUGCAUUAUUUUCCUGCAAAACAAAGUGUUAGGACCUUACCCCACCAGACUUUACUAUUUAAAUUAAUAAUUAGAAAAAUGCAUUUAGUUCUCCAAAUAAAUGCACAUACGUUGGGGUGUCUAUUUGGGUUUCGAGGAAACCCGGUGGACUUUGGUUUAGGCUAUCUUAAGGAGUCAUUAUGUCAACAACAUAACUAACUCGGCUACGGUUGACCAUGAUGCAUGAACGGUUAAAUGAAAUAAUGUUUCUACUUUUGAAGUGCUAGGCAAGGUACCAUUGAGUGGAAAACUCAAGAGGGAAAGGCGUGAAACCGUCGACAACAUUGUUGAUCGACUGGUUUUACCGCAAAUAUGCUUUUUGCCACAUUUAGGGGGUUAUAAUAUUGGAAGGGCGCAACCACCCAUUAUAAGCGUUGCUAUGUGAUUUGUUUUGGCAUGAGUGGAAUAUGAUAUCGAGAAAUGCAAUUACAAUAAUGAAGCAAAUUGCAUGUAUUUUCACGUUCAUAAAGAUUACAAUGAAUGCUUGAAAAUUACAACAGUAUUGCAAUAAUAAAAAAAAGAGGAAAUUAAAAGGAAAGAAAAACAUGAAGAGCCAAUUUAGUUUCAUAAUAGAGGAAAUAAAGACAGUAAGUAAAUGCAAUUAAAGAUAUAAUAUAGUCACAAGUAGCAUGUAAUGGUAAAAGCCUAAAGAAAUUCCCCAGCAGAGUCGCCAUGCUGUCGACACCCCCUUUUUCUAAGGAGAAAUCGGAUUUACGAAAGUAUGGGUGGAAUGACUCUUUUUCCUUUUGAGGAAGCGGUCUUGGAGUGUUCAAAGAGUCUCCACAUAAUGAUUAUAGUGCAUUAGGACUCUUAAAGAAGAGAAUAAGGAUUUUUGAAAGAAAACCAGAGUUCGGGUAAGAGCUUGAGAUUAUCUCGAGGGAAAGGUGUUAGGCACCCCUCAUGAUCCACUAGUGUUGUUCCCAGCCAUGCUUAGUUGUGACUUUUGAAAGAGGUAGAAAUAAGUAAAUUUUCACAUAGGAAACAUGAACAAGUUGAGAAUUUUUUUUAGGAAGAAGACAUAAGUGAUUUUUUUUUUAAAAAAGAAAAGCUUGAUGAAAAGUGUUAAUUUAAGAAAAACAAAUAAAAGAGAUAAAGGGUCCUAGGGUUAAAUACAAUAUGGAUCACUUCGGUGCAAUAUCCAGCAAUCAUUCUCACACAAGAUAUUAGCGCACCGGUCAUCAUAUCCAUAUUUUACCCUCCCACCCCGUAGAGGUUAUUUUAAGCGCGUGUAUUGUCACGAAUGCUUAGCGCGUGUAUUGUCACGAAUGCUUAGCGCGUGCUAUUACCCGUCCCGUCUUAUAGGUCCUAGAGGGUGUUUAGGACCACUAUUCCUACAGGGGGUUUCUAGGUUGAACCCUUAAGUUUAAAAGGCAAAAUAUUAAGCGACAUACAAAACAAGUAGGACUUCAUAUUAGGGAUACAUAAAGGCAUAUAAGAGAGCUCAAAUAUCCCUCCACGGAUAAACACAUAAUUAUCACGUCUCAAUCACAUUUAAAGUCUAGGGAGGGGAGAAUUUUAAAAGCUGGAGUGUCGAAAAUAGGUUUAAAACAGAUGCUGAAAAGUUUUAAACAUAAUUUGCAGGAAAGAGUUGGAUGAAGACUUUCCGAACUUGAGAAAAGGGCAGUAGAUAUGUAACAGCUUAAGAAUCAGAAGAAAAAUAUUUUUUUACACACUUGAGAAUAUAUAGUAAAGAUAUUAAAGGAACAAUAUUCUGCUGAAGGAAGAAAAAUAGCACAGUUUCGGACAUGAGAAGUAGAAAAAUAUCUAGCACAGAUGUAAAAUUAUUCGAAAUUGCAGAGGUAUAAAAGAAAGAUGGUGGUAAAUAUAUUAGCUUGGAACUAUAGUUUUACAAAAUCACAGAAGAUAUAGUAUUCAGACAAGUUUUUAGAGAAUAAUAAUCCAGUUCUGGACUGGAAAGGUAAUUUAGUGGAAAACGUAUUUUUGCAUAGAUGUGAUAAAAAAUAGGACAAAAGUUUAGUAGGAAAAACCAGGCGGGCCUCAGAUAGGCAAAACAAAUUUGGACAGUUUAGAGAGGUGGAAUAACUCAAGCAUGAUUUAAGACAGUUAGUCAAUUUUAUCCAGCCUAAGGUUUGCCUAAGCGUUGAAGGUAGUAGGCAUGCAUGUUUGUUUCUAGUUUUACAGUUAACUAGGCUGGUGUUAUUAGAUAUAAUACACUAACGAAGAAUUUCAACAAUUGCAAAUAAACCCUAAGUACAUGGUAUCUAAUGCAUAUAAGAAUCCUAAAGCAUGGUAUCUAGUUGUAGUAACUUGUUAAUUAUUAGUUCUUUGUGAUCAUAAAAUAACAAGUUGAAAGUAAAGAGACCUAGGAGUAGGAUUUCUAUAUGUGAGAUGCAUGUCCUAUACAUGAUUUCUAUAGCACAAAUAGAUAAGUAAAAUUCUAUAGUCAUAUUUUCUACCCAUACUCUUAGUAAUCAUGCAUAACCCUUCCCAAUUUCACUAUAAUCCCCAUAGUUCUUUAUAACAUAUUACAAAUUAGGUAAUUAAAUUACAGUAAUCAAGAAUAAAAUAAGAAGCUAUUCUAUAGGGAGCCUUCAACCAGGCCCAGACCUCCAACCUCACUUCUUUCGAGCUUCACAGCCUUCAUCAAGAGUUUGGGUGCGGCAAAGUUCCCUAGGGGUCUCUUGAGACCCCGGCCAAUAUUAGGAACCCAAAACAAAUCACCAUUGAUAAGUGCAAGUGUGGAAGUGCCAACCUUGUGCAUCAAAGUUCAGUGGGUACUCAAGGUACGGGGGUCGGACCUAAUUCUAAGAGUAGUGUGAUUGUGAAGGAUUUUGAAGAAGUUGAGUUGGAAAAGAAAGUUCUACAUGCAGGAUAGUUUAAGAAAAAUAGUAGAGGAGUGAAAAUUUGAGUACCUAAGGCAACGCUUACACAAGGGGACAUGACCUAAUUCUAAGAGUAGUAUGAUUGUGAUGGAGUUUGAAGGAGUUGAGUUAGAAACAGUUGAAAGACAGUUUGAGAAAAACAAUUAUAGGAGAGUGAAAGAGUCCGUUUGAAAUCAAUUUAGGCAGACCAGUUUUGAAAACAAAAGAGUCAUACAAACAAGGGCAAGGGAAAAUGGCACAAAUAGUUCACAAGCAAGGAAACCAUUCACACAUGUAUAAUACAUUAAAGAGAAGCAAUCAAGCAUACUUCAAAGAAGGAGUUUAAUUCUUACUACACCAAACUCCAAACAUGGUCAACCUCAGGAAGAGGUUCCAAGGCUAUUGAGUAGCCAGGCAGGACCUGAACACAUGUUAGUAGUGCACAGGAGCGAUGAAAAAACAUGCAUUGGGAUAGGAGAAGGGGCAGUGACAUGCCAAGUCAGGCUAGGCAUAUUAAUUAUCAUAAGUAUAUGCUAGUGGCAAUAAGAACAACAGAACCAUAAGUAAGAACACACAAGAAACAUGAGGAAGUGCAGUAUUAAUGGAAGCAUAUUAUUUUUGAGGCUAUAACUUAAAUGGUAUACAUACCAGUUGGAAAAUAAUAUAAACACAGGGCAGUAAUGAGCAAGGAAGUGAGCAAUAAUAUGCAGAGAAAAGCAGAGAGCAGAGAAGCAGUAUGCAGGAAGUGAGCAUCAGUAUACACGAAGAGAGCAGCAGGCAGACCCAAAGCAAAACAACACAGUAGAAACCAACAAAGUGAAAGUGACCAAGAUUACUCAACAUUGGCUUGAAGCCAGCUGAGUGAUUAGCAUUCAACAGGAAAAGUGAGAGGAUAUUGUGUAGAAACAAAUAGCACAGAGAUGUUUGUGUGAAAAGAGAGAGAGUUCAGAACAUUGAGUGUGAGUGAUAUGCAAUGUGUUUGUUGGUUUCUUGCAAAGAUAAUGUGGGGGUACUUAGUACUGAAAAAGAGUAAGCAAACAAGGUAUCAGUCCCUUAAUUAAGGGACUGGUAUCAAUCACAAUCCAGUCAGUAGUUGGACUGCCCUUUAAUUAAGGGAUCCCAAAUCAAAUGGUAAUAAUUAGUCAUUCAAAAGGAAAUAAAUUACAAAGUAAGGUAUAAUCACAUAAGGAAAUAGGGUAGCAUAGAGCAUGCAGUAAAGACUAGACACAUGACCAUCCAAUUAAGGAAAUAGGUCAGGCAAAUCAAUCAAAAGUUUGUAUACAUAUAUAAGGAAAAAUAUCUCCGUAAUUUUGGAAAAUAAUUUUCAAAUAAUGACCGAGAUUAAAACCCUAAGAAAUCAAAAUUAACCACGGAAAGUAUCCCACAAAUUAAGGAAUAAAUUCAAAUUAUAGGAAAAAUACACGAAAUCACAAUUUUAAAGCAAGUAUCACAGUCUCAAAGAGGAUUCAAGGAAUCAGUAUAAAAGAACCAUGCAAGCAAUAAUAGAAGCUCUAAGUAAAGAACACAGAAGGAACGACACACUAACAAAAGGAGCAUAGAACUCGGAGAAGGAUUCAGAAGAACACAAAACAAGCAAAUAAUGCAAACACGAACAACCAAAAUUAGGGUUUCGUCAGACUUAAGCAAAACAUUUAGAAAAUAGUACUAAGAAUCACGAAUUAGUACUCAAAAUCAAAAAAUAAAGUGAUUUCGAAAAGGGGUCAGAAAUCCUAGUUUCAAAAAGGAACAGAAAUCAUUUAAAACUGCAAUAAUCGUAAAGAUCAAGUAAAAAUAGUGCAAAACAUGAAGGUGUGAGUUAAAAUUGUUAAGGAAAUUAGAGAUUUGAGAGGUUUUGUUUACGAUUAGGGUUUCAUAAGAAACCAGUGAGAGGGGUAAGAGAAACCUGGCCGUGAAGCUCAAAGAUAAUGGUGUUUUUAGCAUCAUCGAACCAAAAUCCAUUAGAGAAAGGCCGAAAUCGGACCCAUGUUAGGCUUUAGUGACCAUUUUCAUGGUGGAGGCGUCUGGGGUUUCAAACUUUGGAAGGAAGUAGCGAUAUAGGAUCCCAUGGUGGCUAGAGGUCGAGAGAAGUCAGGACAGAGCAUGGCCAGAGAGGCGAUGAAGUUCGUCGGAGAAGAAGGAAGGAACCAUAAGGUUCUAGAGAGAAGGGAGAGGAAUCAUUAAAGAGAGUGUGAGAUAGCUAGAGACCGG
rnacentral:lncRNA from 1 species